AAAACUCUAAGCGGUGGAUCACUCGGCUCAUGGGUCGAUGAAGAACGCAGCAAACUGUGCGUCAUCGUGUGAACUGCAGGACACAUGAACAUCGACAUUUUGAACGCAUAUCGCAGUCCAUGCUGUUAUGUACUUUAAUUAAUUUUAAAGUGCUGCUUGGACUACAUAUGGUUGAGGGUUGUAAGACUAUGCAAAUAAGUUGUUCAUAAAUUUCAUUUCAUGAUUUUUAUAAGCACAUGGUAUAUUAUUGGGUAUAAUAAUUAUUAAUUGUUAUAUUCAUAAUAUUAAAAAUUAUAUGAAAAACAUUAUUCUCACAUUGUUGUAAAUAUUUGAAUGUGAAAACGAAGAGAAAUAUUUUCUUUUUUUUAAAUCAAAUAAUACUGAGAAAUGUCUAGCAUAAAAAAUGUGAAAAUAUUUUUCAUCUAGAAUUGUCUCUUAUUAAUGAUGCAAAAAUCGAAAAUGUUGCUAAUGUUAUUAUUCUUCGUUUGGUUUGUUAAAAAUAUAACAAAUUUAAAUAUAUAAUGUUUUCUCUAUAUAAAAAGAAUUAAUGCUAAUAAAUGUUUUAUACAACCUCAACUCAUAUGGGACUACCCCCUGAAUUUAAGCAUAUUAAUUAGGGGAGGAAAAGAAACUAACAAGGAUUUUCUUAGUAGCGGCGAGCGAAAAGAAUCAGUUCAGCACUAAGUCACUUUGUCUAUAUGGCAAUGUGAGAUGCAGUGUAUGGAGCGUCAAUAUUCUAGUAUGAGAAAUUAACGAUUUAAGUCCUUCUUAAAUGAGGCAUUUACCCAUAGAGGGUGCCAGGCCCGUAUAACGUUAAUGAUUACUAGAUGAUGUUCCAAAGAGUCGUGUUGCUUGAUAGUGCAGCACUAGUGGGUGGUAAACUCCAUCUAAACUAAUAUAACCAUGAGACCGAUAGUAAACAAGUACCGUGAGGGAAAGUUGAAAAGAACUCUGAAUAGAGAGUUAAACAGUACGUGAAACUGCUUAGAGGUUAAGCCCGAUGAACCUGAAUAUCCGUUAUGGAAAAUUCAUCAUUAGACUUGUAGUAUUUAAACAAUAUUAUGAUAAUAGUGUGCAUUUUUUCCAUAUAAGGACAUUGUAAUCUAUUAACAUAACUAAAUUUAUCAUAAAAUAUGGCUUAUAGUUUAUUCAAAUUAUUAUGCUUGCAUUUUAACAUAGAAUAAAUGUCAUUAAUUUGAUAAAGUGCUGAUAGAUUUAUAUGACUACAGUGCGUUAAUUUUUCGGAAUUAUAUAAUGGCAUAAUUAUCAUUGAUUUUUGUGUUUAUUAUAUGCACUUGUACGAUUAACAAUGCGAAAGAUUCAGGAUACCUUCGGGACCCGUCUUGAAACACGGACCAAGGAGUCUAACAUAUGUGCAAGUUAUUGGGAUAUAAACCUAAUAGCGUAAUUAACUUGACUAAUAAUGGGAUUAGUUUUUUAACUAUUUAUAGCUAAUUAACACAAUCCCGGGGCGUUCUAUAUAGUUAUGUAUAAUAAUAUUUAUAUUAUUUAUGCCUCUAACUGGAACGUACCUUGAGCAGAUAUGCUGUGACCCGAAAGAUGGUGAACUAUACUUGAUCAGGUUGAAGUCAGGGGAAACCCUGAUGGAAGACCGAAACAGUUCUGACGUGCAAAUCGAUUGUCAGAAUUGAGUAUAGGGGCGAAAGACCAAUCGAACCAUCUAGUAGCUGGUUCCUUCCGAAGUUUCCCUCAGGAUAGCUGGUGCAUUUUAAUGUUAUAUAAAAUAAUCUUAUCUGGUAAAGCGAAUGAUUAGAGGCCUUAGGGUCGAAACGAUCUUAACCUAUUCUCAAACUUUAAAUGGGUAAGAACCUUAACUUUCUUGAUAUGAAGUUUAAGGUUAUGAUAUAAUGUGCCCAGUGGGCCACUUUUGGUAAGCAGAACUGGCGCUGUGGGAUGAACCAAACGUAAUGUUACGGUGCCCAAAUUAACAACUCAUGCAGAUACCAUGAAAGGCGUUGGUUGCUUAAAACAGCAGGACGGUGAUCAUGGAAGUCGAAAUCCGCUAAGGAGUGUGUAACAACUCACCUGCCGAAGCAACUAGCCCUUAAAAUGGAUGGCGCUUAAGUUGUAUACCUAUACAUUACCGCUAAAGUAGAUGAUUUAUAUUACUUGUAAUAUAAAUUUUGAAACUUUAGUGAGUAGGAAGGUACAAUGGUAUGCGUAGAAGUGUUUGGCGUAAGCCUGCAUGGAGCUGCCAUUGGUACAGAUCUUGGUGGUAGUAGCAAAUAAUCGAAUGAGACCUUGGAGGACUGAAGUGGAGAAGGGUUUCGUGUGAACAGUGGUUGAUCACGAGUUAGUCGGUCCUAAGUUCAAGGCGAAAGCCGAAAAUUUUCAAGUAAUAAAAUGACUAUAUAUUACAAAAAUGCCAAUUAAUAUACUUGAAUAAUUUUGAACGAAAGGGAAUACGGUUCCAAUUCCGUAACCUGUUGAGUAUCCGUUUGUUAUUAAAUAUGGGCCUCGUGCUCAUCCUGGCAACAGGAACGACCAUAAAGAAGCCGUCGAGAGAUAUCGGAAGAGUUUUCUUUUCUGUUUUAUAGCCGUACUACCAUGGAAGUCUUUCGCAGAGAGAUAUGGUAGAUGGGCUAGAAGAGCAUGACAUAUACUGUUGUGUCGAUAUUUUCUCCUCGGACCUUGAAAAUUUAUGGUGGGGAUACGCAAACUUCUCAACAGGCCGUACCAAUAUCCGCAGCUGGUCUCCAAGGUGAAGAGUCUCUAGUCGAUAGAAUAAUGUAGGUAAGGGAAGUCGGCAAAUUAGAUCCGUAACUUCGGGAUAAGGAUUGGCUCUGAAGAUUGAGAUAGUCGGGCUUGAUUGGGAAACAAUAACAUGGUUUAUGUGCUCGUUCUGGGUAAAUAGAGUUUCUAUCAUUUAUGUUAGUUGCUUGUUCCCCGGAUAGUUUAGUUACGUAGCCAAUUGUGGAACUUUCUUGCUAAAAUUUUUAAGAAUACUAGUUGGGUCAAACCAAUUAGUUCUUAUUAAUUAUAACGAUUAUCAAUUAACAAUCAAUUCAGAACUGGCACGGACUUGGGGAAUCCGACUGUCUAAUUAAAACAAAGCAUUGUGAUGGCCCUAGCGGGUGUUGACACAAUGUGAUUUCUGCCCAGUGCUCUGAAUGUCAAAGUGAAGAAAUUCAAGUAAGCGCGGGUGAGAAGAUGGAAGAUGGAGCUCUUUAUCAGGGUGUGGAUCCUUGGGAGCUCCGGGGUCUGGUUGUAUGCAGAAGGGGUGAAAUUCCGAAAUUCAUUAGUCAUGCAAUCAGAUCAAGUCGACUCGAAACCUCCUCGUGGUAUCUUCCGGGUACUAAGCAGUUAUCUGUUUAGUAGCAGAUUCGAGCGGCGAAGUGUUCUCUGGGGUUACCAGCCCCUUUGAACGUAUCCAUAUGGUAUCAAUGAUAAUACAGAGCCUCGGAGACCUACAUCUGUGGUAAUUAGCCUAGAUGACCAUAUUGGAACAAGUGCUGGAAAUAACCCGUCUACUACGGUUACCUGCACGAUAUGUGGAAGGCACUUUAGCAGCAAAAUAGGGCUAGGUGUCCACAUGUCACGUCUUCACAAAAACGAGUUUGAUGAACUUCGUCGGCGUGAAGACGUAAAUCUAAGAUGGAGUGAGGAAGAGAAGUGGAUGAUGGCGAGAAAGGAGUUCGAACUCGCAGCAAGUGGUAUCUUAAGGCAUGCCAAUAAGCAACUAGCGGAAUUUUUUACACACCGCAGCGUCGAAGCUAUCAAGAAAAUUCGACAGAGGGGUGACUAUAAGGCAAAAAUGGAACAGAUAAGAGGGCAAUCUGUUUCCACCCCAGAAGUUGCAGAUACAAGAACCACACAGCGCCGCCCUAGUAAUAGCGAGCAAGAACACCGA
rnacentral:rRNA from 1 species